AAAAAAAAAAAAAAUUACAAAUUUUAAUAAGGGAAUGGGUAGUUAAGUCUCAUUCGGUAAGAUUCUGCAUACUUGGAAAGAGAAAAAAAAAAAGAUUUUAUUGGUCGUAUCAUCGGUCAGUCACGAAAAUUGCUUGACACAAAUAUUUUGAUAGGUGACAAUGAGCAACAAAAAGAAAGAAGUUAGGACUAAUACAAAAUCAUUCGAGGGGCAUGAUUAUGACAGGGAUGGUAUCAGAAUUCAAGAUUCAAGACUACAAAAAAUUUUUGAUGUUUUCAAACAGAAUGGUAGCGAGCCAUGCCAAAAUAAGAAUAAGCUAGUUUGGAGAUUUCUCGAUGGAGUAAUUUGUAUUUUGGAUUAUGAUUAAAGUAUAUUUUGACUGAUAUUAAGUGGAGUACUAGCUAUGGAAUAUUAAGGUACAUGGUGAUUAUUGGUGUAUCAGUAUAUAGGUGAUUUUGGAAGUUUAACUUGAUACCGGAUACUGUGGAUAAUACUUCUAGUUUGAAGUUAAUUAUUUUGAUGGCAAGAUAGGGUUCAUUCAUAAGUUGUUUAAGGCUUGGACAAGGAAAGCUUUUAUAUUCUUCGAGGUUAAAAUCGGUAUGACAAUUAUGCAUGAAACUAUUGUAUAGAAAGAAAAUAUAUCUGAGAAUGACAUUUAAGAGUUUCUCCUUUGUUUACUUGGAAUGUGACAUAUUAGAUCUUUUCAAAUUACAAUGCAAGAUUGGUAUUUUGAUUGAAAGUCAUUUAGUAAAUUCUGGGAUAAUUUCCAAUCUUG
rnacentral:lncRNA from 1 species